GAUGAACGCUAGCGGCAGGCUUAAUACAUGCAAGUCGAGGGGCAGCACGAAUAGCAAUAUUUGGUGGCGACCGGCGCACGGGUGCGUAACACGUAUACAACCUACCUAUAACAGGGGGAUAGCCUUUCGAAAGAGAGAUUAAUACCCCCGUAAUAAAUUGAGUGGGCAGUCACUUGAUUUUGAAAGCUACGGCGGUUAUAGAUGGGUAUGCGUCUGAUUAGCUAGUUGGUGAGGUAACAGCUCACCAAGGCGACGAUCAGUAGGGGAUCUGAGAGGACUAACCCCCANACUGGUACCUGAGACACGGACCA
rnacentral:rRNA from 1 species